AGGAGAGAGAGAGGAGCCGGAGGAGCCGGGGCUGAGAAGUGAGCGGAUUCAGUCAAGACUGCCUCCCCCGCAGCGCCUCCCAGCUUUGGCGGUUUCCCUGUCAUUUGUUUCCAUGCCCCGCCCUCGCCACGCUGCUUCGGCUCCUCCUCUCCGCUUCAGCUCGCCCUGGAUCCCUGCGGCUCACCGGGACCGCCAGACUCCGGGAUCCCUCCAAGCAGCGGCCUCAGGGAGGUGAAACGCACGAAUUCCACUCCGGUGCCAAAGGCCAGGAUGAAGGAGGCGAGGGCCGCAGGAACCAGCAGCAGCGCCGGUGCCAUGGCGAGCAGCGCGGAGCCUGAGGAGAAGGCGGGCUCAGGGUUCCCGCGACUGCUGGCCCUGCCCAGGUCCCGCCUCCUUGGGGGUGCUGGCGGCAAGGCGGGGACCGCGAGCGGCGCGUCACAGCGCGGAGUUGGAAUCCCCGGCGUCGUCAGGGCAGCUGGUCUGCGGCUACCCUUGUGGGUCGAAUCUCAGCGCUGUCAGUGUUCUCGAGGAAAGUGAAGACAGAGCCUCCCUUGCGUGGAAACAUAAAGAACAUCUUGUUUUUAAAGAUAAUCACUCCUUAUUCUCCAGCCUCAAUCCCUGAUGUGCUGGGGUUACAAACGGCGCCACCCCGCCCAACAUAGAUUUUUGUAUAGUGACCGUUUUAGAGCUGGGUGUGGUGGCUCGUGCCUGUAAUUCCAGUACUCGGAAGGGUGAGGCAGGAGAAUUUGAAGUUAGCUUGGACUGCAUAUGGAGACCGGUUCCG
ensembl:antisense Ppp1r18os protein phosphatase 1, regulatory subunit 18, opposite strand